GCAUGUUGAUUACCAAAGUAAAUAGAGAAACUGCCUCAGCUGAACAAUUAAGAGGGUACAGAGUUCCGGGAAGGGCAGAAGUAUAGGCAAAGCCCAAAGUGGGAUGUUACAAAAUGUAACUGGAUGUGGAUUUACCAGGGAAAAAAAAAACAUACCUGAGAGCUCAAUGUGGAAGUUUGGAUGUUUUCCUGAGAAGAAUGGUUCCUCAUUUGGGAGGCAUGGUGAGAAGUAUGAACAAUCAUGGAAACAUCCUGACCAGGCCAACCUAGGAAUGGCUGCAGGAAAGAAGAAAUCAACACAUCCCCUCCGGAGUCUGGCCGGAACCAGGAAAUAUUUGCAACACUUAACAUUUUUUUUGCUUUACAUCCUCACCUUCCCCUCUUGGCUCUAUAAAAGAAACUAGCACCCAAAUCUGGGCAAGAUGGGUCUUUGGGACACCAGGCCACCAACCUCUUGGUCUGCUGGCUUUCCGAAUAAGGUCACUAUUCCUUGUCCCAACACCUUGUCUCUUGAUUUAUUGGCCUGCUGUGCAGUGAGCAGUAAUGAUGAGCUUGGACUGCAUAACACUAACGCAAGCCCUGGAAGCAAGGAGAGGCUGAGGAAUAAAUUGCAAGCAGCCCUGAUCUUU